rnacentral:rRNA from 2 species
UUAGAAGCUUGCUUCUAUGACGUUAGCGGCGGACGGGUGAGUAACACGUGGGCAACCUGCCUGUAAGACUGGGAUAACUUCGGGAAACCGAAGCUAAUACCGGAUAGGAUCUUCUCCUUCAUGGGAGAUGAUUGAAAGAUGGUUUCGGCUAUCACUUACAGAUGGGCCCGCGGUGCAUUAGCUAGUUGGUGAGGUAACGGCUCACCAAGGCAACGAUGCAUAGCCGACCUGAGAGGGUGAUCGGCCACACUGGGACUGAGACACGGCCCAGACUCCUACGGGAGGCAGCAGUAGGGAAUCUUCCGCAAUGGACGAAAGUCUGACGGAGCAACGCCGCGUGAGUGAUGAAGGCUUUCGGGUCGUAAAACUCUGUUGUUAGGGAAGAACAAGUACGAGAGUAACUGCUCGUACCUUGACGGUACCUAACCAGAAAGCCACGGCUAACUACGUGCCAGCAGCCGCGGUAAUACGUAGGUGGCAAGCGUUAUCCGGAAUUAUUGGGCGUAAAGCGCGCGCAGGCGGUUUCUUAAGUCUGAUGUGAAAGCCCACGGCUCAACCGUGGAGGGUCAUUGGAAACUGGGGAACUUGAGUGCAGAAGAGAAAAGCGGAAUUUCCACGUGUAGC